rnacentral:tRNA from 1 species
AGAACUUUAAGUUAUUGAAACUAAAAGCCUUCAAAGCUUUAAAAAAAAGUAAACUCUUUUAAGUUCUA